AUUGAACGCUGGCGGCAUGCCUUACACAUGCAAGUCGAACGGCAGCACGGGAGCAAUCCUGGUGGCGAGUGGCGAACGGGUGAGUAAUAUAUCGGAACGUGCCCAGUAGUGGGGGAUAACUGCUCGAAAGAGCAGCUAAUACCGCAUACGACCUUAGGGUGAAAGGGGGGGAUCGCAAGACCCUUCGCUAUUGGAGCGGCCGUGAUCAGAUUAGCUAGUUGGUGGGGUAAAGGCCUACCAAGGCAACGAUCUGUAGUUGGUCUGAGAGGACGACCAGCCACACUGGGACUGAGACACGGCCCAGACUCCUACGGGAGGCAGCAGUGGGGAAUUUUGGACAAUGGGCGCAAGCCUGAUCCAGCAAUGCCGCGUGCAGGAAGAAGGCCUUCGGGUUGUAAACUGCUUUUGUCAGGGAAGAAAUCCUCUAGGUUAAUACCCUUGGGGGGAUGACGGUACCUGAAGAAUAAGCACCGGCUAACUACGUGCCAGCCGCCGCGGUAACAC
rnacentral:rRNA from 1 species